rnacentral:tRNA from 1 species
GCAGUCGUGGCCGAGUGGUUAAGGCAAUGGACUAGAAAUCCACUGGGGUCUCCCCACACUGGUUCGAAUCCUGUCGAAUGCG